UGGGGAAUAUUGCACAAUGGACGGAAGUUUGAUGCAGCGACGCCGCGUGGAGGGUGUAGGCCUUCGGGUUGUGAACUCCUUUUUCUCGCGAAAAAGGCACAGUUUUGGCUGUGUUGAUGGUAGUGGGGGAAGAAGCGCCGGCUAACUACGUGCCAGCAGCCGCGGUAAUACGUAGGGCGCGAGCGUUGUCCGGAUUUAUUGGGCGUAAAGAGCUCGUAGGUGGUUCGUCGCGUCUGUCGUGAAAGCCAGCAGCUUAACUGUUGGUCUGCGGUGGGUACGGGCGGGCUUGAGUCCGGUAGGGGUGACUGGAAUUCCUGGUGUAGCGGUGGAAUGCGCAGAUAUCAGGAGGAACACCGAUGGCGAAGGCAGGUCACUGGGCCGUUACUGACACUGAGGAGCGAAAGCGUGGGGAGCGAACAGG
rnacentral:rRNA from 1 species